rnacentral:rRNA from 1 species
GACGAACGCUGACAGAAUGCUUAACACAUCAGCCAUUAGUUGGUGGCGGGCGGGUGAGUAAAACGUAAAGAAAUUACCUCACAGUUAGGGACAACAUUUGGAGACAAAUGCUAAUACAUAAUACUGGGAGAGAGCUUUGCGUUCCAGUAGCAAGUUGGAGAGGUAAUGGCUCACCAAGGCGAUGAUGGUGAGCAGGCCGGAGAGGGUGAUGGGCAACAAGGGUACUAAGACACGGCCCUUAAACCUACGGGGGGCAGCAGUGGGAAAGAUUGGACAAUGGAGCAAAGUCUGAGCCGGCAAUACUGUGUGCAAGAGGAAGUUUUCGGAAUGUAAAGUGCUUUCAGUUGGGAAGCGGUACCAACAGAAGAAGUGACGGCUAAAUACGUGCCAGCAGCCGCGGUAAUUC